GUGUCAGCCGCCGCGGUAAGACGAACCGUGCGAACGUUAUUCGGAAUCACUGGGCUUAAAGGGCGCGUAGGCGGGUUGCCAAGUCGGAGGUGAAAUCCUGCAGCUCAACUGCAGAAGUGCCCCCGAUACUGGCAGUCUCGAGUGAGGUAGGGGCAUGUGGAACUUCCGGUGGAGCGGUGAAAUGCGUAGAUAUCGGAAGGAACGCCGGUGGCGAAAGCGACGUGCUGGACCUCAACUGACGCUGAGGCGCGAAAGCCAGGGGAGCGAACGGGAUUAGAUACCCCGGUAGUCC
rnacentral:rRNA from 1 species